rnacentral:rRNA from 1 species
CUAGCCUACGGGACGCAGCAGUAGGGAAUCUUCCACAAUGGACGAAAGUCUGAUGGAGCAACGCCGCGUGAGUGAAGAAGGGUUUCGGCUCGUAAAGCUCUGUUGGGAGUGAAGAAAGAUAGAGGUAGUAACUGGCCUUUAUUUGACGGUAAUUACUUAGAAAGUCACGGCUAAAUACGUGCCAGCAGCCGCGGUAAUACGUAGGGGGCAAGCGUUGUCCGGAUUUAUUGGGCGUAAAGC